CGACGAGUUCUCGUUGAUGAUUGGUGCUUGCACCGAGAUUCAACAUGGAACGAGUGGCGGACGGGUGAGUAACACGUGGGUAACCUGCCCUUAAGUGGGGGAUAACAUUUGGAAACAGAUGCUAAUACCGCAUAGACCCAAGAACCGCAUGGUUCUUGGCUGAAAGAUGGCGUAAGCUAUCGCUUUUGGAUGGACCCGCGGCGUAUUAGCUAGUUGGUGAGGUAACGGCUCACCAAGGCGAUGAUACGUAGCCGAACUGAGAGGUUGAUCGGCCACAUUGGGACUGAGACACGGCCCAAACUCCUACGGGAGGCAGCAGUAGGGAAUCUUCCACAAUGGACGCAAGUCUGAUGGAGCAACGCCGCGUGAGUGAAGAAGGCUUUCGGGUCGUAAAACUCUGUUGUUGGAGAAGAAUGGUCGGCAGAGUAACUGUUGCCGGCGUGACGGUAUCCAACCAGAAAGCCACGGCUAACUACGUGCCAGCAGCCGCGGUAAUACGUAGGUGGCAAGCGUUAUCCGGAUUUAUUGGGCGUAAAGCGAGCGCAGGCGGUUUUUUAAGUCUGAUGUGAAAGCCCUCGGCUUAACCGAGGAAGCGCAUCGGAAACUGGGAAACUUGAGUGCAGAAGAGGACAGUGGAACUCCAUGUGUAGCGGUGAAAUGCGUAGAUAUAUGGAAGAACACCAGUGGCGAAGGCGGCUGUCUGGUCUGUAACUGACGCUGAGGCUCGAAAGCAUGGGUAGCGAACAGGAUUAGAUACCCUGGUAGUCCAUGCCGUAAACGAUGAAUGCUAGGUGUUGGAGGGUUUCCGCCCUUCAGUGCCGCAGCUAACGCAUUAAGCAUUCCGCCU
rnacentral:rRNA from 1 species